rnacentral:rRNA from 1 species
UACAGAGGGUGCAAGCGUUGUUCGGAAUUAUUGGGCGUAAAGGGCGCGUAGGCGGCCGCGUAUGUCCGGUGUGAAAGCCCACCUCUUAAAGGUGGAAUUGCAUCGGAAACUACGUGGCUGGAGUGUCGGAGAGGAUGGUGGAAUUCCUGGUGUAGAGGUGAAAUUCGUAGAUAUUGGGAAGAACACCAGUGGCGAAGGCGGCUAACUGGUCCAGAUCUGACGCUGAGGUGCGAAAGCGUGGGGAGCAAACAGG